rnacentral:rRNA from 1 species
UUCUUCUACAGGUACCGUCACAAUCGUUCCUGUCGAAAGAGGUUUACAACUCAGAAAGCCUUCGUCCCUCACGCGGCGUUGCUGCGUCAGACUUUCGUCCAUUGCGCAAGAUUCCCCACUGCU